rnacentral:rRNA from 1 species
GACGAACGCUGGCGGCGUGCUUAACACAUGCAAGUCGAACGGAAAGGCCCUGCUUUUGUCGGGUUCUCGAGUGGCGAACGUGUGAGUAACACGUGAGUAACCUUCCCUUUACUUUGUGAUAACUUCAGGAAACUGGUGCUAAUACCUGCUACGAGCUCCUGCUGCAUGGUGGGGUUUGGAAAGUUUAGGCGGAUGUGGAUGGAUUGGCGGGUUAUUAGCUUGUUGGUGGGGUAGUGGCUUACCAAGGGUUUGGUAGCUAGGCUGCCUGAGAGGGUGAACGGGCACAUUGGGACUGAGAUACGGACCAGAGUGGUACGGGAGGCAGAAGUGGGGAAUAUUGCACAAUGGGCGGAAGCCUGAUGAAGAAACGCCGCGAGCGGGAUGAAGGCCUUCGGGUUGUAAACCGCUUUAGCCUGAGACGAAGCGUGAGUGACGGUAAUGGGUAAAGAAGCACCGGCUAACUACGUG